rnacentral:rRNA from 1 species
GGGGAGCUUGCUCCCCGGGUGACGAGCGGCGGACGGGUGAGUAAUGUCUGGGAAACUGCCUGAUGGAGGGGGAUAACUACUGGAAACGGUAGCUAAUACCGCAUAACGUCGCAAGACCACAGAGGGGGACCUUCGGGCCUCUUGCCAUCAGAUGUGCCCAGAUGGGAUUAGCUAGUAGGUGGGGUAAUGGCUCACCUAGGCGACGAUCCCUAGCUGGUCUGAGAGGAUGACCAGCCACACUGGAACUGAGACACGGUCCAGACUCCUACGGGAGGCAGCAGUGGGGAAUAUUGCACAAUGGGCGCAAGCCUGAUGCAGCCAUGCCGCGUGUGUGAAGAAGGCCUUCGGGUUGUAAAGCACUUUCAGCGAGGAGGAAGGUGGUGAACUUAAUACGCUCAUCAAUUGACGUUACUCGCAGAAGAAGCACCGGCUAACUCCGUGCCAGCAGCCGCGGUAAUACGGAGGGUGCAAGCGUUAAUCGGAAUUACUGGGCGUAAAGCGCACGCAGGCGGUUUGUUAAGUCAGAUGUGAAAUCCCCGGGCUCAACCUGGGAACUGCAUUUGAAACUGGCAAGCUAGAGUCUCGUAGAGGGGGGUAGAAUUCCAGGUGUAGCGGUGAAAUGCGUAGAGAUCUGGAGGAAUACCGGUGGCGAAGGCGGCCCCCUGGACGAAGACUGACGCUC